rnacentral:rRNA from 1 species
ACGAACGCUGGCGGCGUGCUUAACACAUGCCAGUCGAACGGAAAGGCCCUGCUUUUGUGGGGUGCUCGAGUGGCGAACGGGUGAGUAACACGUGAGUAACCUGCCCUUGACUUUGGGAUAACUUCAGGAAACUGGGGCUAAUACCGGAUAGGAGCUCCUGCUGCAUGGUGGGGGUUGGAAAGUUUCGGCGGUUGGGGAUGGACUCGCGGCUUAUCAGCUUGUUGGUGGGGUAGUGGCUUACCAAGGCUUUGACGGGUAGCCGGCCUGAGAGGGUGACCGGCCACAUUGGGACUGAGAUACGGCCCAGACUCCUACGGGAGGCAGCAGUGGGGAAUAUUGCACAAUGGGCGGAAGCCUGAUGCAGCAACGCCGCGUGCGGGAUGACGGCCUUCGGGUUGCAAACCGCUUUCGCCUGUGACGAAGCGUGAGUGACGGUAAUGGGUAAAGAAGCACCGGCUAACUACGUG